AUAAUAAUAUGUAUACAUAUUUAUAUAUAUAUAAAUCUUUCAGUAGAAAAAAGUUAUUUGCGUUUGUAAGAAAAAUCCCUUCGCUACGUUUAAUUUAUAAGUUGGCAAGACUAUUGCAAUUAUUCUGACAGAAUUGCCAAUAAAAGAGUAAAAAUAAUCGUAACAAAUAAUAAAAAGAUAGUAUAGAAAUAAAAUGAGAUAAUAUAGAAAAAAAAUAUUUGCUUCUUUAUUAUAUCCUUUCGGAGUAUCGCAGAAUAUUAAUUAAUUUAUCUUGUCAAAAUGUAAAUAUUGUGUUAACAAAUAGAUACGAUACGUACAUAUAUACAUAUAUCUACAUAUAUCUAUACAUAUAUAUAUAUAUAUUGUGUGUGUGUAUAUAUAUCAUUGCAGGAACUAUAAAAGUAAAAGAAAAGUAAUUGGAUUGAAGGCACUUUUUUAUCGGCGUACAAUUAAAUACAUACGUAAAAAAAAUUACACGCUUCUUUGAUUAUAUCUUGAUGUGCAAUUAUGACAAUAUUCUAUUGUUAUUUAUAGUCACAUGAUUAUCAUUUGGAAUCUAGACGUAUACAUUAUAUAUCAAUACUUAUCAGACAAUAUAUAAUCUAUAUACAUAAUAUAAUGUACGUAAGUAGUACAUUAGUUUGCUUACGAACAAUUGUGAAAGUUCACGUCUAAGAAAGAAAAGUUCGCAAUCCAAUGCAGAGAGAGAUCGCAUCGAUGAUCGUGUUACUGACGUCAAUGAAGAUACAGAACGUUCGAUGGACUGUGUCCUAGUUGCUUGUUGCUGCUUUAGCAACAUAUGUCGAAGCGAUUGAGCUUCCUCUCGAAGGGUCACCACCUGCGCUCGUAAAAUAGCAUUUUCGUGUUCUAACAUUGUUGCCUUUAAAGCGAUCUACGAAAAAUAAUUGAAUGAUGGAGGAGGUGGGGAAUAUGUUGUGUAAAGUAUUAAUCGAUUAAGGAGUUUUACAUACACAUUUGGAUCGUUCAAAAAUAAAGACAUUAAUAUUUUUGA